AUUUCCACGUCAUAUCCUAAGCGGGUUGUGUUUUCAACAGCGAAUCCGCCUUUCCGUAACGUGGUAGAGUAAUAGUUCUUUGUUUUGGUGUUGUUAGUUUCAAGUUCACAGUGCCUGAAUAGGGGAUCUGACAUUUUU
rnacentral:snoRNA from 1 species